rnacentral:rRNA from 1 species
CUACGGGAUGCUCCAGUUAGGAAUAUUUUGCAAUGCGCGCAAGCGUGACAAAUUGAGCCAGAGUGCUUCUCAUAUUGAGAAGCUUUUGUUAAAUGUAAAAAGUUUAACGAAUAAGGACUGGGUAAGACUAGUGCCAGCCGCCGCGGUAAUACUAGCGGUCCAAGUCGCAGCCAUUUUUAUUGGGUCUAAAACAUCCGUAGCUUGCUUUAUAAGUUUCUUGUGAAAUUUCGUGUCUCAAGCAUGGAGCGUGCAAGAAGUACUGUAAAGCUAGAGACUGGAAGACGUGGGAAGUAUGUUCAAAGUAGGGUAAAAUGUGUUAAUCUUGAACAGACUAACAAUAGCGAAGGCAUCCUGCGAGGACAGUUCUGACAGUAAGGGAUGAAGGCUAGGGGCGCAAAACGGAUUAGAUACCCCUGUAGUC